rnacentral:misc_RNA from 1 species
AACGCACCUUGCGCCCCCUGGUAUUCCGGAGGGCAUGCCUGUUUGAGUGUCAUUAAAUUCUCAACUUCAAAAGUUUUUAUUAACUUUUUGAAGCUUGGAUGUGGGGGUUUGCUGGCGUCUUUAGAUGUUCGGCUCUCCUUAGAGUUAUUAGUGGGAAUGUCUUUUGUUAGGCGAUCCUUGGUGUGAUAAUUAUCUACACUUUGGAUAGUCUAAUGGUUCCAUUGGGAUUAGUUGGUAUUGCGAUUAAGUUUGCUUUACUUGAGUCUCAGAGGAAAAGAUAAGUUCUGCUUUCUAACCGUCUGUGUUACAUGGACAAUUUAUUGACUAUUUGACCUCAAAUCAGGUAGGACUACCCGCUGAACUUAA